CUUUCCUACGUUCUCUUCUUUAGAGAGAGGUGUCGCAGAUGACUUGUUAUCUUCUUAUUGUCAAGAAAAAGGCAACUAUUUAAUCAUUCUCAUUCCUGUUGACAGAGGAGCCUGGAGGGCUACCAUCCAUGGGAUUCCAGAGAGUUCGAUUCAACUGGGUUACUAACACUUUCAUUUUCACUUUGCUGUUGACAGAACAGUUUGAGAGGUGUUUCUUGUUUAUUCUGUGAUACAGAAACUGGACUUGGGGCCCAAAGCAAGUAUAAUAUUGUACAAAGUGUUAGUAGCUCAGUGGUGUCUGACUCUUUGCUACCCCGUGGACUAUAGCCCUCCAGGCUCCUCUGUUCAUGGAAUUCUCAAGGUAAGAAUACUGGGGUGGGUUGCCAUUUCCUUUUACAGGGAAUUUUCUUGACCCGGGGAUUGAACCUGGGUUUCCUGCAUUGCAAGCAGAUUCUUCACCACUGUAUAGUUUCUAGUAAAG
rnacentral:lncRNA from 1 species